rnacentral:rRNA from 1 species
GACAGAGGUUGCAAACGUUGUUCGGAAUUACUGGGCAUAAAGCGCACGUAGGCGGUUCGUUAAGUCAGGUGUGAAAUCCCCCGGCUCAACCGGGGAAUUGCGCCUGAUACUGGCGGGCUAGAGAUCGAUAGGGGUGAGUGGAACUCCAGGUGGAGCGGUGAAAUGCGUAGAUAUCUGGAGGAACACCGGUGGCGAAAGCGGCUCACUGGAUCGAUACUGACGCUGAGGCACGAAAGCCAGGGGAG